GCGAGUGAGCGGCAAAGCUCAAAUUUGAAAUCUGGCACCUUCGGUGUCCGAGUUGUAAUUUGAAGAAGGUAACUUUGGAGUUGGCUCUUGUCUAUGUUCCUUGGAACAGGACGUCACAGAGGGUGAGAAUCCCGUGCGAUGAGAUGCCCAAUUCUAUGUAAAGUGCUUUCGAAGAGUCGAGUUGUUUGGGAAUGCAGCUCUAAGUGGGUGGUAAAUUCCAUCUAAAGCUAAAUAUUGGCGAGAGACCGAUAGCGAACAAGUACAGUGAUGGAAAGAUGAAAAGAACUUUGAAAAGAGAGUGAAAAAGUACGUGAAAUUGUUGAAAGGGAAGGGCUUGAGAUCAGACUUGGUAUUUUGCGAUCCUUUCCUUCUUGGUUGGGUUCCUCGCAGCUUACUGGGCCAGCAUCGGUUUGGAUGGUAGGAUAAUGACUAAGGAAUGUGGCUCUAC
rnacentral:rRNA from 1 species